UCCGUAGGUGAACCUGCGGAAGGAUCAUUAUUGAAUGAAACUUCUGGCUGGGUGCUGUUGUGCUGGUCCUUUGGGGCAAUGUGCACGCCUCUGGCUGUUUGUUUCUUCUGUUCCACCUGUGCACUGUCUGUAGACACACUGUGUCUAUGAUAUAUGGUUACACACACGCAUGAUGUUUCGCAUAUUGGUUGGCAUAUUACAUAUGUAUAUGAUAUAUACAACUUUCAACAACGGAUCUCUUGGCUCUCGCAUCGAUGAAGAACACAGCGAAAUGUGAUAAGUAAUGUGAAUUGCAGAAUCCAGUGAAUCAUCGAAUCUUUGAACGCAUCUUGCGCUCCUUGGCAUUCCGAGGAGCAUGCCUGUUUGAGUGUCAUUAAACUAUCAAAUCACCUCUCUUGAGGUGCUUUGGACUUUGGGAGUAUUUUGCUGGUCCGUUUGAGCCAGCUCUCCUCAAAAGCAUUAGCUAUGGAGACCAUCAGUGUGAUAACUUUGUUUACACUGACUGAGUGUGUCUCUGCUUAUUAAAAUAUGCCCCCUUUGACCUCAAAUCAGGUAGGACUACCCGCUGAACUUAAGCAUAUCAAUAAGCGGAGGA
rnacentral:rRNA from 1 species